AGAAUCCACUGCCGCUUCCAUGCAGGGAGGACCGGGGGAGCCGCAGCCCCACUCUGAGCAAUUCUGCAAGAGAGCUUCAGCAAAAUUCCAAAACAAUCGCAUUGAGAGUCGGCACAACCCAGGUCUCCCGACUUGGGUUCCAAGCGAAGUUUCUUUUGUCGUUUGCUCGCCUCCAGGGAUGCAGUCUCUACACUCUCUGUGGGACGGAGGGGGAACUUCAGUGGAGGGAACAUUAAAUAUUAGGAAACCCGAAGAAAAAGCAAAAGCAACUGCUGUCUCAGGCUGCCCUUCCGAGGUUCGUAGUCCGGGAACGAUGAAGGGAGACUGCCACCUAUGGGCCAGGUUCCAGGGACGCCCGCACGUGGGGUUCUGUGGGACAGACGCAGUCUUAAGGUAGAAGGGAAGGCGUCUUCGUGGGACGGCUGGAGUGUGAUGGCGCAAUCUUGGCUCACUGCAACCUCCGCCUCCCGCGUUCAAGCAAUUCUCCUGCCUCAGCUUCCCAAGUAGCUGAGAUUACAGACGCCUGCCACCACACCCGGCUAAUUUUUGUACUUUUAGUAGAGACGGGGUUUCACCACAUUGGCCAGGCUGGUCUAGAACUCCUCACCUCAGGUGAUGCACCUGCCUCGGCCUCCCAAAGUGCUGGGAUUACAGGCGUGAGCCACCGUGCCCAGCUACAUUUAUCAUCUUUUUAAACAACCUGCACAUGGCAGCAUUUUCUACACUCAGUUCUUCUUGCUUUUGUCUCUUACUACUGUAUAAUGGAGACGGUUCCAUAUCAGUUCAGUCAGUGCUGCUUCAUUCUUUUGAUGGGCAACACAGUUCCCCCCUGCAAGGAUAUAGCCUAAUAUCCAUACCAGUUCUUUUUGAAUAACUUUUAAGUUGUUUAAAAUCCCUUGUUAUUACAAGCAAUGCUUAUGUAUAAGCAUAUCUAUAGAAUAAACUCCUAUGCAUAGAAUUACUAGGUCAAAUGGUAUAUAGACUUUACGAAAUAGUUUAAAUACAAAAAAAGUAUAAAAAAUAAAGCAACUAACAAUGUACCCAGCAUUAUUACAUCUCAACAAGGAAAAUCACAUUUCAUUUAGGAAGCACUGAAGUGUGAGGUCACUGAAGUCAUGAGUUAUUGCUAAUUUAUUUGGAAUAAGGGAGUUAUCUAAUUUUGCUUUGAAAUCUGGAAGCCUGAACUCAAAUGCUGCUAGGGUUGUAAAUGUAUUCCAUCUAGUGGGCUCAGCUGUGUUCAAAGUGGAUUGUUUUUUCUAACCAAUCACCUGUGUGUUCCUAAAUUUAGUUCUUUGCUGUGUUUGACCCUGAUCAAUGAGAUACACAGGCCUGGCCUGGCAAAAGGCCUGAAUUAGCUCAAAGGUAACUGCUUAGAUCAUGUAGCCUACCCCAAGUAUCCUGUCAUACAAGUGACUUUACAGGGAUUUGUUUUAUUCCUUAUUAGAUGGAAUGAGCUUUCCGUUUCAUUCUUAUCAUUUAAGUGAAUUGUGGCUUAAUGUAUUUGUAAAGGCAUACCGUGUAUCUAUGCAUAUGUGUUAUUUCCAUUAUGCUUUAUCUCAGGCCUCAUACCUUCUGCAAGGAUUUUCAUAAUGUUUUUCUGAAUGGGAAGCCAGGAGUUCUCUCUGUGCCUCAACCCCCUGCUCCCACAGCAUUCAUUCUCUUUGGGGGUUGCACAUAGGGUUAAGGAUUUCCAGUUUUCCUUUGAACAAUGAUUGCAGAUUUAAACACAGCUUGGUAACUUUCAGCCUAUUAUUUGUGUAAAUGGCUCUCUAGUGCUUUUAAAUUUACUUAAUUAAAAUUCUAGAAUGAUAUG
ensembl:lncRNA